rnacentral:rRNA from 1 species
AGAGAUGCACUGGGUGUAAAGCGUGCGCAGGCGGUUUUGUAAGACAGAGGUGAAAUCCCCGGGCUCAACCUGGGAACUGCCUUGUGACUGCAAGGCUGGAGUGCGGCAGAGGGGGAUGGAAUUCCGCGUGUAGCAGUGAAAUGCGUAGAUAUGCGGAGGAACACCGAUGGCGAGGGCAAUCCCCUGGGCCUGCACUGACGCUCAUGCACGAAAGCGUGGGGAGCAAACA